rnacentral:rRNA from 2 species
UACAGAGGGUGCGAGCGUUGUUCGGAAUUACUGGGCGUAAAGCGCGCGCAGGCGGCUCUUUAAGUCUAUGGGUGAAAGACCGGGGCUCAACCCCGUGUCAGCCCGGGAUACUGGGGAGCUAGGGACAUGUAGGGGCGAGCGGAAUUCCGGGUGUAGCGGUGGAAUGCGUAGAGAUCCGGAAGAACACCGGGGGCGAAGGCGGCUCGCUGGGCAUGGUCCGACGCUGAGGCGCGAAAGCGUGGGGAGCGAACAGG